AAUGUCAGCGUUGCUUUCACCCAUUGGGUUGCCCCCUUUAACUUGGCAAGUUCUGGACAGGCCAGCCAUUCCUCAUGUCAACAGAACAAACUGAGUCGGGUGUUGUGCUUUCUCUUACUGGGACCACAGAAUAAUCACAGACAUUUCUCCUUCUCUGGGAGAAGCGAAGACAGCCCUGCCAGUGGCCCUUCUCAGCUGUUUCCAGGGCUAAAGACAAGCAGAAGACACUGAGGAGCCAUGGCUUGCUCCACCUCCCUGGAUGUUGUAUGGAAGACAUACUAGUAAAAGAGACCCGAAAGAAUGUGGGAUGAAGAUGAAGAGGGGGCACUGACAGGUCAUCCCAGAAACCCAACCCAUGUUGCACCAUUUUCUGGGGGACUCCCCAAUGUUUUGGGGGACACUCUGGGGAAAGAGCUCACUGAGGAACCCUCCGUGCCAGAACCCCUUCCAGCACCUCGCAUCACCAACAACAUCCUGGGCGAAGUGCUCAUUGAGGAAACCUCAAUUCCAGGGCCCCUUCCAACACCUUGCAUCACCAAUGACCUACUGGGGAAAGUGCUCAUUGAGGCUACCUCAGUGCCAGGUCCUUCCAUCCUCACAGACACUCCAAAGGAAGCAGCUUCUGUGUCAGAGCCCUUACCAGAGCCUUCCAUUGCUGAUAAUUAUCUUCAGCAAGAAGUAGAACUCCCCAAAGGGUUACAGCAUGACUAUGUCCAGCAGCAUAAGUAUUGCGACACCUCAGAAACCUUUUGCAUAUACACCCAGCACAAAGAUCAGCUGCAGUUUUGAUACCCAGCCCAGAUGAUGGACUAAGCCCUAACACUGCCCUUUUUGCAAGUCACCAGUACUCAGCCUGGUCAGCACAUACAACAUUUGUUCCUUUUUGCUCUCUUUGUUGCAGAACUGAGGCUUCGCCGCAUUUCCCAACAGUUCCCUCGUUCUCUCCGGGCCAUCAACCUGCAAAUUGGACACAUGCAGACAAGGCUCAUCCGCAGUGAAGUUCGGCUGCAGCAGUGGGAAAGGGAAGAUGUUCCUGCAGGCCCUGCUGCACUUCUCCAGCCCUCUGGGUCUGAUUCAUCAUUGUCCUCUGCCUCCCUGGAGGUUGCCUCCAUCCCACCCUCCACCUCCACCUCUUCCCUCCUCCUGCAUCCCUCUCCACCUCCUCCUCCUUCCCCACCUCCUCUGGAGCCGGACCUCAGCAACGUGAAAGAAACUCUGCAGAGUUUGGUAGAGAUGCAAGUCCAUCAGCUGCGUGACCGCCAAAGAGACAUCCGCAGCUGCCAGGAAUGCUCACAAAGCUUCAAGGCACUGAGGGGACAGUUGAGGCAGCUAAGGAGCAGACUGGCCAGGGUGGAAGUCACUAUGGGGAUCGUGGUUCCUCCAAGGGAGCUGGACGUUGCUGAGGAAGAAGGGGAAGGCAAAUUAAAAGAGAUAACUGUGCUACUAUUUACAUAAGUAGCAAUAAAAUGCUGUGUAUAUAUUUUUAAAAUAUUAAAUAUUUGUUUUAAUAGGAUGUAGAGAUAGAACAGCAAUAAAACUUGCAUAUUUAUUGUUUUAAAAAAUAAAAUGUUUUAUUUUAAAGAAAAUACAUUUGUCUUGCUUUGAAUAUUCUUUGGGUAGAGUUGGGUAAAAAGGUCUUUGGGUCAAACUCAGCUACAGAAAAGA